rnacentral:lncRNA from 1 species
GGAAAAUAGGUACCCUGUGUAGCUCCAGGGAGUCUAUAAAUUAGCAACCCACCUUUCUUUCUUUCCUUCCUUCCUUCCCGCCUUCCUUCCUUCCUUCCUUCCUUCCCUCCCUCCCUCCCUCCCUCCCUUCCUUUCUUCUUCAACUGGCAAAGAGUUAAACUUUUUAUUUCUUUCUAUGUCUUACCUCAGAUGUUUUUAAUCUAGGCAGAGAGUAUGACAAUCCAAGGUCUAUAUUAAGCUGAACUGGGGCAUUGAAGACACUUUCUAGACUCAACUGAGGUUCAGAGAAGUGAAGCAACUUGCCUGGGCCACUCCAAUAGGAACCGAGCUCUCUAAACUCCUUCCUUCAGAUCCCAGUCCUGUCCAAGGAGCAGCACUUUUUGGUAUCCAUAAUUGACUGUAAAAUUGACAAGAAGCUUUGUAUAUUUGCCCAGCAAACAGAAAGAAACCAGGGAAAUGGUUUCUUUGGUUUUGUGACUUCUCUGAAAUCUCUUGUUGGAAAGCAUGAUUGCCAACAUCUGUCCCUCCCCAAAAGCUUAUUAUGGAGUUUUCCUGUCUAGGGUUCUAAGCUAGGACAAAAUAAAGGUAACUAAUGGUUUUGAGAAGUUAACUAUGUUUUCUGCGUGCAUUAUAAAUCAUUCACAGUCACUUUUUGAUGUCAACCUGAAGAGAGCUCACAUUCUCCUGCUUCUUUCAAAUGUAUACAAAUAUGGAAAGAUUUACUUUGGCUUCUCAUCUUGUUUCCUAAGGCAUGCUAGUCAAAAGCCUGCCACCCUCUUUUCUAUCUUGAAA